rnacentral:lncRNA from 1 species
AUGAGGGCCUUGGAUCAUAUUUGGAUCUUGGAUGAGGUUUGGAUCUUCAACAGUGUUUGGAUUUUGGAUGAUGGCUGGAUCUUGGAUGGUUGGAUCUUGGGUGGCUGUUGGAUAUUGGAUGAGGUUUGGAUGUUGGAUGAUGGUUGGAUCUUGGAUGAGGUUUGGAUCGUGGAUAGCGAUUGGAUUUUGGAGCACGGUUGGAUCUUGGAUGGUGGGACCUUGGAUAACCUUUGGAUCUUGGAUGAGGUUUGGAUCGUGGAUAGUGAUUGGAUUUUGGAGCACGGUUGGAUCUUGGAUGGCUGGAUCUUGGAUCGAGGUUGGAUCGUGCGUGAUGGUGGCACCUUGGAGGAUGUUUGGAUCUUGGAUGAAGUUUGGAAGCUUUUUUGGGGGGAAAAAUCCAAAUUUCCAGUCAGGAUGAAACAGAACUCGUGGAUUCUCCACUGCCAAACCCUGUAAAUAGGAAGGGACGUGACAAAACUGACUUAAUUCAUUAAUUAAUUCAUUAAUUCAUUAAUUCAUUAAUUACUGUGCUUUUUCAUUUUGCUGCUUUCCAGCCCAUGAAUUCCCUCUCCAGCUCUUUCCCUAAAACCCUUUGGAGCUGAUCCCGAUUUUUUCAUUUAUUUGCACUCAGUGAUGAUGAAACAUUUCAAGGCUUUUCCAGAAUUCCUACAAAAAAAAAGGGAAUAUUUUCAAUUAAAGCCUGAAGUUUACACUUGGCUCUGUUGAGAGCAGAGAUUCCCUUUGGAAAUUUUUGAUAUUCCAUAGGAAAAAUUCCCAUUUCUUCAAUCCCUGCCUUUUCCAGCUCUUUUACCUCCCAGGAGCUGCCGUUAAAUAUUUAUUUUUAAAUUAUUUUUUUUAUUUUAAUUUCAGUAUUUUUGGUGUCGCUUUCAAACCCGACACUUCCAGUGCAAUAUUUUUGAACAGUGAAGCUUCAAAUCCUUGGAUUCCAUGGGAAUUUUUCCCUUUUUUUUUUUUUUUUUUUUUCUGUGGGAAUUUUUCCCUUUUUUUUUUUUCCUGUGGGAAUUUUUCCCUUUUUUUUUUUUCUGUGGGAAUUUUUCCCUUUUUUUUUUUUUCCUGUGGGAAUUUUUCCCUUUUUUUUUUUUCUGUGGGAAUUUUUCCCUUUUUUUUUUUUUUUUCUGUGGGAAUUUUUCCCUUUUUUUUUUUUCUGUGGGAAUUUUUCCCUUUUUUUUUUUUUUUCUGUGGGAAUUUUUCCCUUUUUUUUUUUUUCCUGUGGGAUUUUUUUUCCCUUUUUUUUUUCUGUGGGAAUUUUUUCCCAUUUUUUUGGAAUCCUAAUUUUGGGAGAAAAAGACACCAAACCUCAUUGAGGGUGUUGUUUGCAAGGUUUGUAUUCCUUCAGCUUAGUUAGGACUGGAGUCAAAUUUAUUCCAAGUUUUUUCCUGGCAUGCACUUUAUUGGAAAAUCCGGUGAUAAUUCCAUAUCCAUCAUUUUUUUUUUU